AUGGGAUGGAGAAAGAAAAGCGGUGAUGGUGAUUUUCGACUCAUUCCCGUUACAAACAGCCGACCUUCCUACCGAGUUCAAGUACCUUCUGCCUGGCCUGGAAGAACCGUAUCUCUCUGUCACCCUCUUCCUCUGGCCCUCACCUGCCCUCCCCUGAACAUGCAUUUUGCCUGAGAGGAGACAGAGGCGGUUGGUAAGUAUACUACGCUGGCUCAGUGCCUUCCAGGAGGGAGGUAGCGUGAAUGACCCAGUGCUUAUGUGUUCACGACGGACUCACACAGGCUGGAGAGAGAUGCCUCCAUCUUCCAGCACACAGUCCUGUGCCUGCUUCUGUAGUGACUCCCUCUCCCUCUGUGAAAACACAUGAGGAAUACAGGAAUAAGGGUUAUCUUCUACUGAAGCCUGCCUAGUGUUUAUUACAGGUAAUUUUGAACCAUGAUCAAAUCUCCAAGUUAUUAGUUUGGUUAAUGUUCAGCAGAAACAAACAACCUUUCCAACUUUAUCUGCCUCCCUUCCCCUUUACAAAUCUGCACAUCUUUCAAAACGGUCGCUUUGGACUUCCCAGACAGCCUAUGUUUGUUCCCAUCUCCUGGCUGUUCCCAUCUCCUGUAAUUCUCCUGCAUUGAGUCUGCUCCUCCUGACUCUAUUUUGUCCAGCUCAGUUCUGUCUGCUUUCAAGGUCCACUUCCUCCUGAAGCCUUCCUGAAUCGCCCCCAGCCUAUAGUGCUCUCUCUUUACCUGGGACUCAGUCAGGAGUUACAGCUCAUAUCAUUCUCUCACUGGGCUGCCAAUCAUAUACUGCUUUUUUGACAUUUUAAAAAAGGCUAUUAUCAUUAUUUUCUACUUAACCAUCAUUUUCUUAUUAACAUUUCUUUUUUUCUUAAAAUAGUUUCCUUUAUUUUAAUUUAAUUUAAUGAAUUUAUUUUUUGAGACAGGGUCUCACUCUCUUGAUCAGGCUGGAGUGCAGUGGCGUGAUCCCCAUUCACUGUAGCCUCGACCUCCUGGACUCAAGUGAUCCUCCCACCUCAGCCUCCCAAGUAGCCGGGACUACAGGUGCAUGCCACUACACCCGGCUGAUUAUUUUGUAUUUUUGUUGCUAUGUUUCCCAGGCUGGUCUUGAACUCUUGGGCUCAAACCAUCCUCCCAUCUUGGCCUUCAAAAGUGCUGGGGCUAUAGGUGUGAGUCACUGUGUUGAGCUUAUGAAUGUUUCUUAUUUCUCUAUGAGACUAUAAGGUCUUACCUAUAUUUCUG
rnacentral:lncRNA from 1 species